AUUGAACGCUGGCGGAAUGCUUUACACAUGCAAGUCGAACGGUAACAGGUCUUCGGAUGCUGACGAGUGGCGAACGGGUGAGUAAUAUAUCGGAACGUGCCCAGUCGUGGGGGAUAACGUAGCGAAAGCUACGCUAAUACCGCAUACGAUCUAUGGAUGAAAGCGGGGGAUCGCAAGACCUCGCGCGAUUGGAGCGGCCGAUAUCAGAUUAGGUAGUUGGUGAGGUAAAGGCUCACCAAGCCGACGAUCUGUAGCUGGUCUGAGAGGACGACCAGCCACACUGGGACUGAGACACGGCCCAGACUCCUACGGGAGGCAGCAGUGGGGAAUUUUGGACAAUGGGCGCAAGCCUGAUCCAGCAAUGCCGCGUGCAGGAUGAAGGCCUUCGGGUUGUAAACUGCUUUUGUACGGAACGAAACGGUGAGCUCUAAUACAGUUUGCUAAUGACGGUACCGUAAGAAUAAGCACCGGCUAACUACGUG
rnacentral:rRNA from 1 species